UUGUGGUGUGAGGCAUAAAUAAAGAGAUAUUUAUUAGUUAGAGAGAGAAUUGUGGGUUGGUGUUCUUUUGGUUGGGUUUAGACACAAAUAGAGAGAGAAGCUCUGGAUUCCACCUUUUUCCGUCCUCCGCGACGGUUAUUUUGCCGGUUGGCUCUCAGGUUGUGCUGGACUUGGAUCUAUACAGAUUAAUCUUCUCUUUUAAGAUAUGGAGCAAGCGCGGUUCUGGUUAAAUUGCUACCAGUUUCGAGUUUUUUCAUUCCAGGAAGUACUGGACUGGCGGUUUCUCGUCCUUGGAGGUUUUCUUUUGGUGUCCUUUGUCAAUUGUACCUAGUGGUCCGAUUCUCUUUAAUGAUCAGUAUAGGAGACGUAAUGCAAAUCUUUGCUGAGAUAGGUGUUGGAUAUUUAGUGCACUUUUACAAUGCAUCACUGAUAGAACAUCCAGCCUAUUAUUUUCAGAAAACGUCUUCUGGGGGUUGAGGUCUGCAAGU